AUUUCUAUGACCCUAGUGUCUAUCCUGCUCUACAGGGUAAGAAAAUCAAUCAAUUAAUCAAUCAGUCAAUCAACCAAUCAAAUUCCUAAAUUACAGGGUGCCUCAUCUGAAAAAAAAGAAAAUAAAAGUAAAAUGAAGUCUAGUAAUGUCUGAAGUAUUGUGUAAGAACUGUGCUUGCGGCUAGGAGAAGCAAGCACACUAUAAAAUGCUAUUGCCUCCAUCACCCCCUCUCCUGAAAUGAUUAAAAAGUUCCCAGCCCCAAUUUUGCCUGUGCACAAUAGUCACACACAUACACACAGAGAAUACUGACUCAACACAUCACUAAUCCACCCCAGGGCAAAUUGGCGUGGGUAGAGAAGCAGGGUUUCCAAAGGAUGCGGAACACUUGCACCGGGAAAAAGACUGGGCCAUCAUUCCCUUUGCGUUCCCAUCUCCUCGGCAGAUUUGUAGAUUCCACCACUAGAGAGAGUUUGGCAGCUUCACAAUGGGGUUGACUGCUCAAGGUCUGACUGCCUCCGGUCUCAAAACCCCUUUCCUUCGCUUCCCACCCGACCCAAAGUCCACCCGCAGCAGGUAGGGCGAGGGCGGUGAUGCCCAAUGACAUCUGCCGCUUUCAGUUCUGCCCCGCAUCGGCACGAAUCCACGCGAGCUACCACGGUCACAGCCCGCCCGUCCGCCCCGCCACACCGACAGUGGCGCAGGGGGCCAGGGCGUCGGGUUCCCAGGCGGCCUUGUCCCCCGGACCGUCGGUGAGAUAAGGCCUCGGGGACUCGCCGGGAGGUGCUAUCUGUCCUGGGCAGUCACGCUCCACGCACGGCGUGGGCACAAGGCCAACAGCGCAGCAGGCCGGCACAAAAGGUUGCAGACGAAGCCGCCGUCCCUGUGCAACCUACCGGUAGCCCAGGGCUCCUCCGCCUCCGCUGGGCCCGGACCCGCGGAGCCAGACACAAGGGCGGGAGAGGCGAAGGGCUGCAGCGCCGGGAUCCAAGCGGAGGCCGCCAGCGGAACCAGCCGGGUACCCUCUGCUCUCCCACCGCGCUCGGCACCGGCUACCGCCCGGCGUAAUCCCCGCCUCCUCCGCCGCCGCCCGCCUUCCCGCCCUCCUCCCUCUGGCUGCAGAGGCGCAGCCCGUCAGCGCUAAGCCCGCCUCCCGCGCCCAGCUCAGACGCCGGGGGGAGGGCGGGCAGGCGGGCCAGAGAAAGGCGCAGAAAGGCCUGAAGAAGUUGGGGGUAGGGUGCUGCUGAUUGGGGAGAGGAGGAGCCGUAAUACCCCCUAACCAGCUCCAACCCCACACUCCCAUUAAAUAGCUGCCUGCGAGCACUCUGUCUUCCACGUUGAGUGGUGUGCUAUUUGUCAUUUGUGAGUCUCUGCUUAAAAGACUCAGCACCGAGAAGAAUCAGUAAAGACGGG
rnacentral:lncRNA from 1 species